GGUGACCGCGAGGGACUGGCCCGGGGGCAGCGCGAAGCCGGUCGUGGACGGCGGCGGGGCGCCAGCGUUGGAGAGGAUGCCCGGCCACACCGUGUAGUCGCAGCUGUUGGUUAUGGUGAACGUCGCGGGAGCUGCUUCUGCAAUAUGAAGUCUAUCGGUUACCUUGGAGAAGAAAGGUGAGGCAGCAGAGCAGGGAGAGGAGAGGGACAAGUCCUCCCAUGGAGGAGAACCAAAGGACGAAGCAGAGAGAUGCAGAACUUUGGUUUGCUGAUGCAUGACAUGACGAGGAGCUGAUCGAGAAGGACAAACAAACAUGGCAGUCUGGCUGGCUUCUGGGAAACUGGGGAGUUGCAAGUAGGUGAGGUCAGCUGCUUGCGGAGGACUGGUCAUCGGACUUCACCUAGCUCGCUAGCUGGGUAAGCUUAUGUCGCGUGUUCCAAACAGUUUGGGCUCAAUUUUUGUGGUGGUUAUCAGCUGGCUGCAGGCAGCCAGGCAGGCACUAUGUGGUUGACACUUGAAACUUUGAAAGGAUCUGUCGCUGAACAAGAUCAGCGCCAGUCUUUCAGCAGCCGAGCCAUCAGGCUGUUUAUGCUUCAGAGAAACAAAGCUAUGUUUUUUUUUAAUCUGAAUUCCAACCAUCCUCGUAUCUGCCUGCUCAUUUGAGUUCUUUGCUGAACUUUUUGCAGGUUCAUGUUUCUGCUUCAGUUCCUGGAUGUAGGUUCGAAGUUGCAGAAGCUUGACGCUAACAUUUGUUAUCUUCUCAAAAAAAAAACAUUUGUUAUGUUGAAGUAGUAUCAAUGUACUAAGCAUCGACUUUUUUGAGUUAGCUAGGAACAGAGUGCACAUAUCACCAGCUCUUGCUCUGAUGAGUAUCAAAAGUUUACAUGUGUAUUAGCAAUUUCUGUAUGUUGUCUCUGUCGAAAGCAUGUAUUUUUCUUCUUCUUA